GGUGCUUGCAUCAUGAUUUACAUUUGAGUGAGUGGCGAACUGGUGAGUAACACGUGGGAAACCUGCCCAGAAGCGGGGGAUAACACCUGGAAACAGAUGCUAAUACCGCAUAACAACUUGGACCGCAUGGUCCGAGCUUGAAAGAUGGCUUCGGCUAUCACUUUUGGAUGGUCCCGCGGCGUAUUAGCUAGAUGGUGGGGUAACGGCUCACCAUGGCAAUGAUACGUAGCCGACCUGAGAGGGUAAUCGGCCACAUUGGGACUGAGACACGGCCCAAACUCCUACGGGAGGCAGCAGUAGGGAAUCUUCCACAAUGGACGAAAGUCUGAUGGAGCAACGCCGCGUGAGUGAAGAAGGGUUUCGGCUCGUAAAACUCUGUUGUUAAAGAAGAACAUAUCUGAGAGUAACUGUUCAGGUAUUGACGGUAUUUAACCAGAAAGCCACGGCUAACUACGUGCCAGCAGCCGCGGUAAUACGUAGGUGGCAAGCGUUGUCCGGAUUUAUUGGGCGUAAAGCGAGCGCAGGCGGUUUUUUAAGUCUGAUGUGAAAGCCUUCGGCUCAACCGAAGAAGUGCAUCGGAAACUGGGAGACUUGAGUGCAGAAGAGGACAGUGGAACUCCAUGUGUAGCGGUGAAAUGCGUAGAUAUAUGGAAGAACACCAGUGGCGAAGGCGGCUGUCUGGUCUGUAACUGACGCUGAGGCUCGAAAGUAUGGGUAGCAAACAGGAUUAGAUACCCUGGUAGUCCAUACCGUAAACGAUGAAUGCUAAGUGUUGGAGGGUUUCCGCCCUUCAGUGCUGCAGCUAACGCAUUAAGCAUUCCGCCUGGGGGAGUACGGCCGCAAGGCUGAAACUCAAAGGAAUUGACGGGGGCCCGCACAAGCGGUGGAGCAUGUGGGUUUAAUUCGAAGCUACCCGAAGAACCUUACCAGGUCUUGACAUACUAUGCAAAUCUAAAAAGAUUAGACGUUCCCUUCGGGGACAUGGAUACAGGGGGGU
rnacentral:rRNA from 1 species